rnacentral:rRNA from 1 species
UGGGGGAUAUUGCACAAUGGGGGGAACCCUGAUGCAGCGACGCCGCGUGGACGAGGAAGUAUUUCGGUAUGUAAAGUCCUAUCAGCAGGGAAGAGGCGCGCCGAGAGACGCGCGGGACGGUACCUGAAAAAGAAGCGCCGGCUAAAUACGUGCCAGCAGCCGCGGUAAUACGUAUGGCGCAAGCGUUAUCCGGAUUUACUGGGUGUAAAGGGAGCGCAGGCGGCCGGCCAAGUCUGAUGUGAAAGGCCGGGGCUCAACCCCGGGACUGCAUUGGAAACUGGAAGGCUGGAGUGUCGGAGGGGUAAGCGGAAUUCCUAGUGUAGCGGUGAAAUGCGUAGAUAUUAGGAGGAACACCGGUGGCGAAGGCGGCUUACUGGACGACUACUGACGCUGAGGCUCGAAAGCGUGGGGAGCAAACAGG